UAUGUACUCCCUCCGUUCAGAAUUACUUGUCUUGGAAAUGGAUGUAUCUAGAACUAAAAUACAUCUAGAUACAUCCAUUUUUGCGACAAGUAAUUCUGAACGGAGGGAGUACAGC
rnacentral:pre_miRNA from 1 species